rnacentral:rRNA from 1 species
GUAGGUGGCAAGCGUUGUCCGGAAUUAUUGGGCGUAAAGCGCGCGCAGGCGGUUCUUUAAGUCUGAUGUGAAAGCCCACGGCUCAACCGUGGAGGGUCAUUGGAAACUGGAGAACUUGAGUACAGAAGAGGAAAGCGGAAUUCCACGUGUAGCGGUGAAAUGCGUAGAGAUGUGGAGGAACACCAGUGGCGAAGGCGGCUUUCUGGUCUGUAACUGACGCUGAGGCGCGAAAGCGUGGGGAGUAAACAGGGAUUAGAUACCCUGGUAGUCCACGCCGUAAACGAUGAGUGCUAAGUGUUAGGGGGUUUCCCGCCCCUUAGUGCUGCAGCUAACGCAUUAAGCACUCCGCCUGGGGAGUACGGCCGCAAGGCUG